UUAAAAUAGAAUAAAAAAUUAGAAACCUCCAAUCCCUUAUUUUGUCGAUCUCUUCAUCUCCAACAAUCUCUCUCUCGUAAGGCGACACGAGCUCUUGAUCUCGGUGGUGCGACGACGACAGGGUCAAGAUCUAGGCUAAUCCGGCCAAAGUCUCUUCUUCUCCGGUCACUGGAUUCCUUCAACCUUCUGCUCCGCCUAGAGUUUACAAUCCCCGCGCUCCUCGUUGCGCCCAUGGAUAUCAAACCGUUCCAGGCAUAGCUUCUCUUUACUGAGUUUGUUGUGCUGAUUCAGUUUUUACAGAUUUCAAUUUUAGUGAAAUUGAUGACGAACAUGAAUCCUUUUCGUCGAAAUUUUUCAAUUGCAAAUGGGUUGUUGAAGCAGAUUGAAAGUUCUGAUUUUGAGUGAUUGAAAGCAAAUGGGUUUUGGAAUUAUGUGAUUGGUUUUGAUAAACUUGUCUUGCUUGGAAGAGAUUGAUGAGGGAAGUACUUCAAGAGGUUGCCGUAAGACCCACCUGCUGGAAUUAGCGGUGCUCCUCAAGACAACAACAUCAUGCUCUGUAAUGCUGUUAUUUUCGGGCCUGAUGAUUCACCAUGGGAUGGAGUUAAGGUUUUUGUUAUUGUAAUCACUUAUCUUUAGAUUUUAGUAAUAGUCAAUAUCUUUCCUUGUAUGAUUUUUUCUACGUACGUUCUACUUCCCUUUUACAUGGAUCUUUGAUCUCCAUUUUUAAGUGUUGGUGUUCUUGAUAGGACCACAUUGGCUGAACAAUCACUCUUUAAUUUUUAAAUCACAGCCAUUGCUCUGUGAUCCUAAUCCGAGUUCUCCUCCAAACUCGGAAGCUGCACGAAUGUUCAGCGAAAGCAAACGCGAGUACAACAGAUGAGUAUGCGAGUCUUGUGUUUGAUUCCACCAACACUUCUCCCUCUCCGUUUUUCUUUCAUCUUUUUGUGUUUUCAAAGUUUGUGAUUUGGUUCUCUUAUUGUUUCUGUGUUUCCAUGUAUUAUCUUAACCAUAUUCAUCUUUAUAAUGAUCAUUUGUAGAUUAAAAACACAGUUCUUAAAAACACAGUUCUUUGUGCC